AUUUCUAGAUUUGCUCUGCAGAUACAAGGAGUAAGUCCUGAUUUUGAGUUCAUCCAUGUUUAGCCUCAACCUGAGAAAAGCUGUGCAGGAUGGCUGAAAUUCAGUGUAAUAAGCAUGUUCAAUGAAAAAAAAGAAAUCCUACGUAGUCAAAUUUAUUGCUGAAUACCACCUUAGGAGUCUGCUGUUCCCUUCUUUUUCCAUCAGGAGUAGAAGCAGCAAUCAGAAGAUACAAAUGUGUUAAUUAAAAUAAAAGUAGACCCCAAGCCAUAAAAGUUUAAGAAAAACAGGUGUCCAUUUUAAAGUUUGGACUUAAUGAUUGUUAAAAAAUAAGUACAAUUUUACAUUAGAAUUCUCACUUUUAAAAACAGGUAUUUUUCUUACUAUAUUUUGGGUAAAAAGUCAAGCUUGUUUCACACAGAGCGUGUAGAUGUUUUUUGACACAAGUUUAAUGUGUUUUACUUUGCUUUUUAUAAGAACAAAGUAAAGAUUACUUCUGAUCGCUCAAAGAAAUUGCAAGCAAAAAUUGUUGCACUUCAUUCUUUUGAUGCAGCUCCCUUAAGUAUUGGUAGAGCAGAAUAGAUGAGAUUCUUCAUGAUAACUUUCUAACAAGCUGUGGGUCUAAGUGGGAGUGCUCUGGGGAUGGACUCAGGCUGUGGGAAGUCCUUCUGCCAGAGCUCUGACCCUGGGAGUCACGACAUGUGCUGAUUUGGCACCUGUAAAUCCGGGUGGCAGGGUGUGUGCCCACCACUGCUGCAAGGCAAAGACGUGCUCUGCGAUUGACGGCCAGGUUCUCAGGGUGCAUUGCAUCUUUGUAAGGCAAGUUAUCGCUGUCAGUUAUUGACAUUCACAUUAGUAAAGCUGAGAGGGUUUUAUACUAAACCUCCUACUUUCUCAUCUUAUUGAAUUAGUGUUUUUUGGUUUUUUUUGAGUGCAUAUCUGCAUGUUAACAGCAUAAUGUUUUUUCACGGCAGGAGAGUAAUUUCCUAAUUCAUUUGUACUACCGAACAUUCUUCACUUUAGUUAUAAAAGAAAUACAAUGGGUUUUAGGUUUUGUUUUUAAAUGCCCUGUAAACCUCGAAUUAGAAAAGUAAAGCUGCGAAUUUAUAGGGUUAUCCCCUUCUGCAUAUCUCUGUAAACCUUGAUCACGAAAGCUGUAGUGACUAUUUUCUGUACAAUGGAAACCUAGCAGAAAAAGAGAGUACAUCAUUAAAAACAAAUCCUAGUAUUGAUAUAGAGUCUGGCUUUAUGUAUAUAAUAGAUGUGUAUUAGUGAUCCUAAAUUUAUGUUUAAAUACCUUACUUCUUUCACAUAAAUUACAGUCUACCCUUCCAAGCAAACACUGUAUGUGAUUGGCUUUGUAUAUCAUGUAUAUGGUGCAGCUUGAGCAUCCAAUCACAGAGAGUCGGGUGUAGGACUUCAUGAUGAUGAUCUCUGCAAGUAGUGGCAUGUCUGGAGUUUUGGUUUUCCCCAUGAAUAUUUCAGGAGGAUAAGAAUCUCAUAAUUCUUAAAGUAAGCUAGGAAAGGAGGAGAGUGGAAUAAAAGAAGAUUAUGAGGAAUAGUCAAUAUGGAUUCACCAAGGUGAAAUCUCGCUUAGCCAGUCUAGUAGCCUUCUACGCUAUCACAAUUGGCUGGGUAGAUGAGGAGACAGCAGUGGAUGCUGUAUACCUUUAAUUCAGCAAAGUCUUUGACACCGUCUUCCAUAAUAUCCUUGUGGGUAGGGUUAGAAAGCGUGGGAUAGAUGAGUAGACAGUGAGCUAAAUUGAGAACUGGCUGACUUGUUGAACUCAGAAGGUUGUGAUCAGUGGCUUAAAGUCUAGUUGGAGGACUGUAGCUAGUGGUGAUCUCCAGGUGUUGGUGCUGGGUCUAGUCCUCUUCAACACCUUCAUCAACAACCUGGAUGCUGAGAUAGAGUCCACCUGCAGCAAGUUUGCUGAUGAUACAAAGCAGGGAGGAUUGGCUGACACACCAGAAGGCUGUGCUGCCAUUCAGUGAGACCUGGGCAGACAAGAGAAUUGUGCAGAAAGGAACCUUAUUAGUUUCAACAAGGGCAAGUGUAGGGUCCUACACCUGGGGAGGAAUAACUGCAUGCAUCAGUACAGGUUUUGGGGCUGACCUGCUGGAAAAAGAGCACUGCAGAGAAGGACCUGGGUGUCCUGAUGGACAAUAGGUUGGCCAUGAGCCAGCAGUGUGCCCUUGUAACCAUGAAGGCCAAUGGUAUCUGGAGGUACAUUACAAAGAGAGGCCAGCAGGAUGAAGGAGGUUCUUCUCCCCUCUGAUUUGCCCUGGGGAGGUCACAUCUGAAACAACUGUGUCCAGUUCUGGGCUCCCCAGUUCAAGAAAGAGAGGGAACUGUUGGAGAGAGUCCAUUAGAGGGCUACAAAGAUGUUUCAGUGCCUGGAGCAUCUCCCAUGUGAGGAAAGGCUAAGAGACAUGGGACUGUUCAGCCUGGAGAAAACUCGGGGGAUCUUAUCAAUGUGUAUCAAUAUAUAAAGGGUGGGUGUUAAGAGGAUGGGGCUGUGCUCUUUUCAGUUGUGCCCAGCAGUAAGAAUGUGAGGGAGCAACAGGAACACAGGUUGCCAUCUGCACAGGAGGCAGAACUACUCUGUGGGUGAUAGAGCUCUGGAACAGGCUGCCCAGAGGGGUUGUGGAGUCUCCUUCUAUGGAGAUAUUCAAAACCUGCCUGGAUCCUUUCCUGUAUUACUGCAAAUGUAGGGACAUGCUUUUGGCAACAGGUUGAACUUCACAAUCUCCAGAGGUCCCUUCCAACUCCUACAAUUCUGUGAUUCUGUGAGAGCCUCUGGAGAUGCAGAGUGAAAACCCCACUGAUGGUGAUGGGAGUUUUUAACUGACUGGAGUAGGUUUAGCAUUUCACUGAGCAUUUUUAAAUGAUUUUUUGAACUAAGAACAUGAAUUCCUUGAUAUUAACCCAAAACAUUCACUGGAUUCCUUCUGUCCUUCCCAAAUUCAGAUUGACAAGCCUAUAGACCAAAAGGGGAACUGUAGGGAAGUAAAACUGCAUUUUGAAUAAGAAAGCAAUUUGAGAUCUCUCCCUCUCUUGUGCUUUGCUGUUAUUCUUGGUAACAGAAGCGACUGAGCUGGAGCUGUUCUGAUCCAUAGCACUUUGCAAGAAUGGGGAAAGCAAAGGGAGAAAACAGUGCAUGAGGAAAGUGCCUUGGGAAGGGCUGUGACAAUUUGCUGAGGCUUGUCUGCUGUGCAGUGCAGCACCCUCCUCUGUGCUGCUGGUUGUGAAGGGGAGCUGCUGGCUGCAUGGAAGGCACUAGUUCUCACCUGGGAGAAAGGAAAGCAAAUCCCCACUGGUCACAGCCCCAGUGGAUGGCACCCAGCAUCUGAUUUUGUUUUGCACCGCUUGUUUCUGGAAAAAAAAAA
ensembl:lncRNA